AUUUCAUGCAGAGUGGCUGAGGGACGAGCCCUGAGACGCCACGGCAACCGGAUCAGGAUCAUCUAUCCUGACCGCCAGGUGCCAACUCUCUCCUGGAAACGGGGAACAUGAGAU
rnacentral:ncRNA from 2 species